GAGAUUGCAGAAAAAAUAGAUCCAUCAACAGCUGACAAAUUUGGUGACUCUACAAAGAUAAAAUCACAUGGUGAAUGCUCGUAUUCCAGUGAUAACAAUACCCCACAAGAUUUAAAUGAAUACAGAAUGGUAGUUUUUGGUUUACCAUCCUCUGGCGUGAGCUCAACUGCCAACACUAUAGUAGGAGAAAAAUUGUUUCAGGAAGGCGUUACGUUCGAUGGCACUACAAAGGAAUGUCAGAUGGAAAGUCGUACACGAUUUAAUUAUGUAUUAAAGGUAGUGGAUACACAGGGAUUUGUAUUCGACAAAAAAAUGAGGACUGCAGAAGAACUAUUCCCAGGGCUUAAAAAAAGUAUUAUGCUUUUUCCUCCAGGACCACAUAUUGUCCUGGUUGUACUCCCGUUGGAUAGAACUAACGAAGAUUUACAUGAUAUGAUUCAUUGUCUUAAGUGCUUUGAGAAUUUGUCUAGGCAUGUCGUUGUCAUAUUAACAAAAAUUGAUAAGAUUGAAAAAGAUAGGGCGGGAUGGAAACAAGAAAUCUUUGAAAGUGAAAAUUUGAGUGAACUGUUGGAAUUUUGUGGUAAACGUGUUGUAUUUUUUGAUAAUACAAGCAAUAGCGAACAACAAGUCAAAGAACUGUUAGAUGUAGUGAUUAAAGUUGUUGAAAGAAAUAUGUCAGAAUGCUUUAACACUGAUUAUUUUUCGAAAAAAACUAACAAAAAACUUGAUCUAGUUCUUCAAGACCAAGAGAAAAAUAGAAAAUCAGUUUAUGAACGCAUACAGAAUUUUGCGAACUGGAAAUAAAACUUUGAACUGCUUCAAAUUAGAUUAGUUCCCUCUCUGCUAGUAUUAUAUCAUUAGAAACUAUCAAUUGAAAUUAAUACAAUAUUUUGAUAUUUAGUCAGUAUAUGUCAUUAUUAAAUACAUAACUUUAUGCGUUCUAA